CCGGCGACCGGCGCACGGGUGAGUAACACGUAUGGAACCUGCCCGCGAGCAGGGGGAUAAGCGGAAGAAAUUCCGUCUAAUACCGCGUAACAACGGUUGGGAGGCAUCUCCCGAUGUUUUAAAGAUUUAUCGGCUGCGGAUGGCCAUGCGGCGCAUUAGCUAGUCGGCGGGGUAACGGCCCACCGAGGCGACGAUGCGUAGGGGGUUCUGAGAGGAAGGUCCCCCACACUGGUACUGAGACACGGACCAGACUCCUACGGAAGGCAGCAG
rnacentral:rRNA from 1 species